rnacentral:rRNA from 1 species
UACGAAGGGUGCAAACGUUGCUCGGAAUUAUUGGGCGUAAAGGGCGCGUAGGCGGCCACGCAAGUCGGAUGUGAAAUCCCUCGGCUCAACCGGGGAACUGCAUCCGAAACUGCGAGGCUCGAGUCCUGGAGAGGGUAGUGGAAUUCCCAGUGUAGCGGUGAAAUGCGUAGAUACUGGGAGGAACACCGGUGGCGAAGGCGGCUACCUGGACAGGUACUGACGCUGAUGCGCGAAAGCCAGGGGAGCAAACAGG